rnacentral:rRNA from 1 species
UACGUAGGGUGCAAGUGUUGUCCGGAAUUAUUGGGCGUAAAGAGCUCGUAGGCGGUUUGUUGCGUCGGCUGUGAAAUCCCGAGGCUCAACCUCGGGUCUGCAGUCGAUACGAGCAAACUAGAGUGUUGCAGGGGAGACUGGAAUUCCUGGUGUAGCGGUGAAAUGCGCAGAUAUCAGGAGGAACACCCGUGGCGAAGGCGGCUCUCUGGGACGGUACUGACGCUGAGGCGCGAAAGCGUGGGGAGCGAUCCGG